CAGCUUGACAAGAUGAAGUCUCUUGACUCUUGAGGUCUCUGCUGUCAGGCAUUAAGCCAAGAAGCCACGAUAAUAUUCCUUCUGACUGUCACACAGCAGGUGGUCUGUAAAGAGGCUUCUAUUUUUCAAUGCAGAAGCAUUUAUCCAUGAUACUGACUCAGGUAUUCCAUGAAACAUGAAUGUUUCUCUUUUUAUACAUCCUUGUUCAUGUCCUAUCUGUGAUGUAAAAUUUAUGAUGGCCAUUUCUACUUCCCUUAUUGAUGUAAUCACUGACGUUGUAAGAAUCAACGUAUAUGUAUAUGUGAUCUGGCCUUCAGAAGAAUAACUGAGAAAGCAAAGAAAGACUAAGACAGGUAAGAUUCAGGUAGGUAGCCAUGUUGGUCUGAUGCAGUUGAUAUAUAGAGAGAGAGAGAGAGAGAGAGAGAGAGAGAGUCCAGUAGCACCUUAGAGACCAACUAAGUUUGUUCUUGGUAUAAGCUUUCGUGUGCAUGCACACUUCUUCAGGUAUUCUUCAGGUAUCCAAAGAAGUGUGCAUGCACACAAAAGCUUAUACCAAGAACAAACUUAGUUGGUCUCUAAGGUGCUACUGGACAAUUUUUUAUAUUUUUAUAUAUUAAGACAGGUAAGGACAUUUAUCACUAAAGUCACUAAGAAAAAAACAUUCACUGACUCACAUAGUGAGUGAAAUCCAGCAUGUCAUGGCAUCUGGUCAUAACCAUCUCCAUCUUUAGCUUUUAAAUGCCUCCUUUGUCAGGGGCAAGCCAGCAAUAAAUCACACAAAGAAGCAAAGUUAACCCUUUAUUAGAAAAAUCAGGAUCUGCACAAGAGUGCCAGACCUAAUGAGGACAGCAACUCUUUUCUGGUAGGCCUUGCCCCUAUGAAGCAGUUGCAGAGACUGAAGGUACACAGGCUGAGACCCUACCUGCCUGUGGACUGCCUCGCCAGAGUGAUGCAUGCUCUGGUUAUCUCUCGCUUGGACUACUGCAAUGCGCUCUAUGUGGGGCUACCUUUGAAGGUGACCCGGAAACUACAACUAAUCCAGAAUGCGGCAGUUAGACUCGUGACUGGGAGCAGCCGCCAAGACCACAUAACACCAGUCUUAAAAGACCUACAUUGGCUCCCAGUACAUUUCCGAGCACAAUUCAAAGUAUUGGUGUUGACCUUUAAAGCCCUAAACGGCCUCGGUCCAGUAUACCUGAAGGAGCAUCUCCACCCCCACUGUUCUACCCAGACACUGAGGUCCGGCGCCAAGGGCCUUCUGGCAGUUCCCUCACUGCGAGAAGCCAAGUUGCAGGGAACCAGGCAGAGGGCCUUCUCAGUAGUGGCACCCGCCUUGUGGAAUGCCCUCCCACCAGAUGUCAAAGAGAAGAACAACUACCAGACUUUUAGAAGACAUCUGAAGGCAGCCCUGUUUAGGGAAGCUUUUAAUGUUUGAUGGACUACUGUAUUUUAAUAUUUUGUUGGAAGCCUCCCAGAGUGGCUGGGGAAACGCAGCCAGAUGGGCUGGGUAUAAAAAAUAAAUUAUUAGUAUUAUUAUUAUUCCCACAGCUGCCUAAGCCCCCUCUUCUCCAGGGUUUCUCCAAAGCAAACCCAGACUGCAUGUGCAAAGCACUAAUUUCUCCUCCUUCUGCUCCUGUGGAAUUCCCUCCCAGUUGAGAUUAGAAAACCCCCUCCUUGCUGAACUUCAGGAACAUGACCAAGUCUUUCUUGUACCGGUGGGCAUUUUAUGGAAGUGCUCAGUAUUGGGGUGGUGCGGGAUCCUUCUACAUGCUAGUGGGUGCCUUGUGCAAUAGGGGCUCCUGAGCACAUGGUGGAAUCUGUAUAAUUGUGGCCUGUUUCUCCUUCAGACCUUUACCCAAUGCACAGAGGUCAAGGUGUGUGGUACUGUGGGUAUGGCCUAUAACAGGGCCUGCUGCCCCCGAGACAACCCUGUAUUGGGAAGUUUUUAAUGUUUUAUGUUAUGCUUUGUUCCUUUAUAUUUUGUGGGAAGCUGCCCAGAGUGCCUGGGGCAACCCAGUCAGAAGGGUGGCAUAUAAGUUGUGGUGGUGGUGGUUGUCAUGUUAACCCUCCAUGUGACCAGUGUAUAAAGAGGGCUAAAAUCUUAGUAGGGCUAAUAAUGUAAGAAGACAUAGACAUGAUGGCCAUACAGUGUCAUGCUGCAUAGAGGCAGGUUUUAUUAUUGUUGUAAAAAUAAAAGGUUGCAGCAGUGUUGCAUAUCAUACCUGCACAUAUCAGGGCAUGGCUGCAGGUAAAUGGAUGGAUUGCCAUUGUGCCUGAUCCUGCAGCCAUAUUUUCCACAAGAGACAGAGAGCGGGUGGGGGCUCAUGCUCUCCUCCCUUCUUUGUGAGAUCAGAAGCAUCUGCUUACACUUUUAAAUUAAAUACAGUUCUCUGUUAUGAUCGAACAGGGAGAACUUUGGUUAAUUUAAACUAUAGUUUGCUCAAACAAGUCAGAAUCAAUCUAGUUUAUGAUCUUGGCUUGUUAACAAACUAUAGUAUCUAGAGCAGGCAUCCCCAAACUCGGCCCUCCAGCUGUUUUGGGAUUACAACUCCCAUCAUUCCUAGCUAACAGGACCAGCGGUCAGGGAUGAUGGGAAUUGUAGUCCCAAAACAGCUGGAGGACUGAGUUUGGAGGUGCCUGAUCUAGAGUUCCUCUGUUCAGGCACAACAACAACAACAACAUCAAGCUGCCCUCUAGUUUGUUUAAAAUGAGAAAUGCAGUCUUUUGAUUACUUUGCAGCCACAGAUGAGCAUUACAGGUGUGUGUUUAAGUCCAAGGUUCACAUUGAUCCAAUGAUACCAGCUUUUCAAAGUCUGACAGUCAUUUGCACUUCUAGCACAACCCCUGCUGCUGCUUAGCACCCACUAGGUAAUUCCACUCUCUACCCCACCCACUUAGGGAACUACUGAUUUAGUGUUAUGUAGAAAACACACCCUUGAGAAUAUUCAAGGAAACAGCAGUUGCAUCAGAGCCACUUCAGAUAUCAUCAUUUAGGGACUGCUAGGCAAUGACCGUAGGAGCUGGUCACCAAAUUGGACUGCCAAUCUUUACUGUACUUCAGGCUGCCAAAGAGACAGUUUGCAGUGAUAUGAGAGGGGGAUUAGAGGUUCUAUUCAAGGAUGCCACAAAUAACUGAAAUGGGGAACACACUUCAGUUACUCAUGAGUAGGUCCAGUUUGAGCAGACUAUAAGCAGGGCCCUAAUCAAACCAAACUCUGAGUGCUUGGCUUCCACCUCAUUUAUUUCCCACAAAAUCUAUACACUGCUUGAUUGUAAUGCAAAUCUCAAAGUGGUUUACUUACAUAAGGCAUGAGGAGGAGAGGUUUCCAGCUCCACUUUCCUUUCCUCCUCCACAAAAUGAGGUUUUAAAGUUAUUUUUUUUAGGAAAAGCACCAAAAAAUCAAUACUCCUGAUGUGGGCUUCCCAGGUUUUCUGACAUUUCAGCCAAUUUUCAAACAUUCCAUCUGGACGCCAUUUCCAACUGGUGAAUCCCAGCUAUGUCCAGGAAAUUACAGACGUAUGGCAGCCCUAUCCUAAUGCCACCUUCAUCAGGAAGGCAUGCGCCACCUAGGAACUGCCUCCACCUUUCUUCUGCCCCAAGUAAGCGUGGUAAGCCAUGGAGGGAAGGAGUUGGGAGAGGAGGUGGUGGAAGAGGAGGAGAUAGUUGCAGAGGUGGAGGCAGCUGCCUAUUCACCUGUGAGUGUUUUUGUGUGGCUUACUUGGAGUGCAUGUAAAGGCCAAGUCCCUCUGGGGCAAGCAAAGGGAUGCUGGAGUAUCCCAAGUUUCCCCUAAGGAGCAGUGGCACACACACAGCCCACUAGCAAUUAGCUUUAUCAAUAUGGACAUCUUCAUUUCCUCAGAGUGCUGGGCCCAUGUGGCUCCAGAGGCUGGGUGUGGCUCUGCUACGGCUUCCCUGAGGAGCAGGGCACCCAAAUGAAUAUUUGCUUUUUAAAGAGGGAAAUUGUGGCGACUGGGCUGCAUUAGUCUCAGAAAGCCAAUGCUGAGUGCUGAUGCCUCACCUCUUUCCCACCACAUUGCCAUCCCUUAUCAUCUGCUGCUGCAUCAAGGGAUCUUUUGAGACCACCUGGGCUACCUGCUCCUGGACUUGGCCCUGCAGCCCAUCAGUUAUGGUACCACUGUCCACAGUACUAAGAAGAAAAUUAUUAUCCUGCAGGUGAAUGAGCUGCAUGGCUUUAGAAGUGUGAUCAAUAUCCAUGCAUAUAUAAGCAUAUCAUUUCUGCUUGACCUCAAGAAAUAGAAGAGUAAGCAAUGGCUUAUAGCAAAGAGGAGAAAUAAAUAGAAAGAUGGCUUUAGUACAACUUUGUGCACUGCUACCCAUACAGGCAUCAGCUUUUAACUAUCCAGGCCAACUAUCUGGCCAUUCCCUUACCAAAGGAUCCGACAUUCAGUAAGUCAUGGGUCAAAGCCAACAGUAAUAAUCGCUUUAUGACUUUUCAUUGGCAGUGUGGAUUGAUGCUUCUCACAAGUUGGUCUUGGAGACUGCACAGUUAUUUUCGACUUGGCAAAAGACUUGGGGGAGUCUUUGCAGGCAAUUAGUGUCACUAAACACCCUUCCUCCCGCAACAGCAGACACAAGAUGAAAGACAGCCUGCUCUGCACACGAACAGAAACUCAGAUUGAUCUGUUGACAGGUGGAGAGUCAUGUUUUUUGUGCCUCUCUUGCAUGGGACUUCUCUUUCCCAGAUAGCUUAAAAGAUGCUUGCUGCAGAGAACUCAGAGAGAUGCUUGUUGCAGAAGCAGCUAGGCUGAAUAAUUUAGCAGCUCUUCCCCUUAAAAGGAACUGAUUGCAUCAGAGCUGUUGCCUGUUUACAAUGGGAGGGGACAUGCCCAAUAUACUUGUCUUUGCACCAUUUCUUAAGAUAUAACUUUUUAACCAUUCAUGAAAAAACAAAACACUCUGCUGGAUCAAACCAAAGCCAGUGUAAUCCAGCAAAAUCUAUGUAAUCUACAAUGGCCAACCAUUGUGGAUACAUGUACAGUGGUACCUCGGUCUACAGACGCUUCAGGUUACAGAUGCUUCAGGUUACAGACUCCAUUAACCCAGAAAUAGUACCUCGGGUUAAGAACUUUGCUUCAGGAUGAGAACAGAAAUCGUGCAGCAGCGGCACAGCAGUAGUGGGAAGCCCCAUUAGCUAAAGUGGUACCUCAGGUUAAGAACAGUUUCAGGUUAAGAACAGACCUCCAGAACGAAUUAAGUUCUUAACCCGAGGUACCACUAUAAUCCACAAUGGCCAACCACAAAAAGCCCAUCCCUGCUUCCCCCUAGAUGUUUAUUUAGCUCACAUGUGCAAUGCCUAAAUAGUGCUUCAGUUGGUGCCCAUCUUAAUGGUGGCAAAUUCCCAAAGUUAGCUAUGUGUUGCAUGAAAUAGCAUUUUAUUUUGUACCCCUCUCCGACUCUUGUCCUUGGUGGCAUCUGCUGCUUUUACACCAUUUUGUUUUCCUAGCAGAUGCUGCUCUUUCCUUGGAGCAAUCAUGUAGACGAUCUUGUCCAACUGGAGACUAUACAGGGAAUGGAAUGAUGACACAGUGCUUCAGAUCUGUGAAUACAAAGACAAAAUAGGGAGCAAUGUGAAGAGGGAGCACUGGACUUCCUCAAAGGGAGAGGGGUUUUAUUUCUUUAUAUGUGUAUUCACCAGCAGUCUUGUACCAAGCAUUGCUCAGGAAUUCUAAUAAAUCAAAAACUUGGUG